GAAGUAAAAGUCGUAACAAGGUCUCCGUCGGUGAACCAGCG
rnacentral:rRNA from 1 species